AAGCUUUGAGGGCUGCACGGUCUGCAUCAGAGCGCAGCGUUCCUGCGCUGGAGAUUAAACCUCACAUUUCAUUUUUAUACACUGUGCUUAAUCCAAUAAUGAUUCCAUGUUACAAACGGCAAUAAUAUCUUUCAGCAUAGUUAAUCAGAAUAGACUUAAUGCUGUCACUAUUUAUUAACCUUUGUUGAAAAGCAAGAAGUUUUCUUCCUAAUCUGUGAUUGUUGCUCUUGUCAGGCUAUAUCAAGUGCAAACCAGCUUUGGCAUUCAUUAAGGCAGGAGGAUGCUGCCCUGCCAGCUGGGAUGCCUGCAGUGGAUGGGAACGCUGGGUGGGGAGCUCCCAAAAUCCUCCCCAGGUCCCCCUGUGUCCCAUUGCUGGGUGGUGGUUGCAGGCAGGAAUUUUGCCCUUCGAUCUUCUCGCGUUGUUCUCUCGUUGCAGAGCAGCCUGUGCUGGAAUUGGCUUGUAGGAGCACCUGGAAUUAAUGAGCCAGCUUGGUGCUGGGCAGAAAUCGAUGCUUCCUGCAUUAAUUGUGCCGUGUUCCAGCUUUGUCUUUUUAUUCUGAGUUAUGUAGUUGCAGGCAGAGAUGUCUCUCUUUGGCAGUAACCCAGGGGUCUUGCUCUCAUGCCUGUCCUGACAUGGUGUUGGUGACACAGCACAGGAGAGCUCGUUUUAGCUGUGUUUUUGCACAGUUUGCCAUUUGAUUUUGCUGCUUUUGUGGCAAGCAGGGUGCCCACUCCAGGGGAGCAGUGGCCUCGUGGUGAAUGCUUGGGGACCCAGGGCAGCCACCUGGGAUAGGACAGUGCCCUCUCAUCCCUUCACUCCCACAGAACAAGCAGCCCAAAAACUCAAUGCAAGCAACCCCCAAACCUCCUGUUUUUACCUGUUUUCAUCACUUCAUGUCCCCAGGAUUUCCCUUGCAAAGCACCCAUGGGAUGCAGUUGGUGGCACACGUUUUGACAGCGCUGAGUUCUGUCUUCUGAACUAGAAUGGGUUCACUGAGACAUGGCUGUGAAGCUCAAACCUCAAGGUAGAGAAUAAAAUGUAAGCCAGAUUCUCUGCUCAGAGUUUCAUCCCAUGAGAUGACUGACCCUUGAGAGGAGGGAAGGGUUACAAUAACUUGGCAAAAUGAAUAGGGUUUGUGCUCAACCUGCCUGUGUUGGUAAUCAAUAGAUGUAUGGUCACCCAAGCUGGCUGUGCAUCUCUUCUAUCAAAGCCGUGACAACGAAAGAUCAAGAUGUGAGCACGCAGACUCAUGCAUCGAACGCUAUUUAAAAAGCAGGAUGAAUUAAUUACCACCAUUAACGACCAGGGAUAGACUUUGGGAGGCUUCAGUUAAUAAAUGGG
rnacentral:lncRNA from 1 species